rnacentral:ncRNA from 1 species
CGUAUGGUGUCCGGCACAAGAUGACCGGAUAGCGAUACGGCCUAACGAGGU